rnacentral:rRNA from 1 species
AUGAAUCGGGAUCGAGGAACGGCCUACCGUUCCCUGUUUCCGGCUACUAUGGCUCCAACGGUGCUCACGAGGUCCAAGGAAUCGCUGCAGCCCAUGUCCGAGUUCCUCAUCUCUGAGGUGGGGUUGGAACCGGCAUACAUUGCUCAUCGGCCGGCACUGCUCACUUUCAGCCUGAAGGGCCGGCUAAGAGCCCGACACUAUGUUUUAAAGUUUCUCAAGGAAAAUGGAUUGAUAGAUCAUGGCCAGGACUUCUUUAAUACAGUCAUGGUUAGCGAGAAGGUAUUUAUGGAAAGGUUCAUAUGCCCUCACAAGGAAGCUGCACCUCAUCUUGCUGAAGACUAUGCAACCGCUUGCAGAGGGGAAGUGCCUGCCAGAUUCAGUUUUACAUGA